rnacentral:ncRNA from 1 species
AUUAUAUAAUUAGGAAAGCUAGUUAUUGUCAGAAUGAACUUCUGGCUAUUAGAAACCAUCAAAUUGCGGGGAAGCCCUAAAGCAAUCAUAACCAAGUAAGAGUAGUAAUACAUAUCUUAUGGCUCAGGUAACGACUCGAGGUACGGUAAAAUCAUGAUUGAUAUACGAAAGUAUAAUGGGUAAUCCGCAGCCAAGCACCACUUAAUACUACGUAGGGUGUGCAGUUCAUCGACUAAAUGUUGGUUGGCGCAAGCUUAAGAUAUAGUCAAGCCCCAUUCGAAAGAAUGCA